rnacentral:tRNA from 3 species
GGUCGGUUCGUCUAGGGGUUAGGACGUAUCCCUUUCACGGAUAAAACACGGGUUCGAUUCCCGUACCGACUACCA